GACGAACGCUGGCGGCGUGCUUAACACAUGCAAGUCGAACGGAAAGGCCCCGUUGGGGGUACUCUUGUGGCGAACGGGUGAGUAACACGUGAGUAACCUGCCCUUGACUUCGGGAUAACUUCAGGGAACUGGGGCUAAUACCGGAUAGGAAUCCUUGCUGCAUGGUGGGGGUUGGAAAGCUUCGGCGGUUUUGGAUGGACUCGCGGCUUAUCAGCUUGUUGGUGGGGUAGUGGCUUACCAAGGCUUUGACGGGUAGCCGGCCUGAGAGGGCGACCGGCCACAUUGGGUCUGAGAGACGGCCCAGACGCCUACGGGAGGAAGCAGGGGGGAAUAUUGCACAAUGGGCGGAAGCCGGAUGCAGAAACGCCUCGGGCGGGAAGACGGCCUUCGGGUUGUAAAACGCUUUCAGCAGGAGCGAAGCUUGUGGUGACGGUACCUGCAGAAGAAGCACCGGCUAACUACGUG
rnacentral:rRNA from 1 species